UCAGUUGUGGUUCAGUGGUAGGAUUCUUGCCUUCCAUGAGAGAGACCCAGGUUCAAUUCCUGGCCAAUGCA
rnacentral:tRNA from 1 species